UACGGAGGGUGCAAGCGUUAUCCGGAUUCACUGGGUUUAAAGGGUGCGUAGGUGGCUUUGUAAGUCAGCGGUGAAACUCUGGAGCUUAACUCCAGACCGGCCAUUGAUACUGCAGAGCUUGAGUUCGAACGAGGUAGGCGGAAUUGACGGUGUAGCGGUGAAAUGCAUAGAUAUCGUCAAGAACACCAAUAGCGAAGGCAGCUUACUAGAACGACACUGACACUGAGGCACGAAAGCGUGGGUAGCAAACAGG
rnacentral:rRNA from 1 species